rnacentral:rRNA from 1 species
UACGUAGGGAGCAAGCGUUGUCCGGAAUCAUUGGGCGUAAAGCGCGCGUAGGUGGCCCGGUAAGUCCGCUCUGAAAGUCAAAGGCUCAACCUUUGAAAGCGGGUGGAUACUGCCAGGCUAGAGUCCGGAAGAGGCGAGUGGAAUUCCUGGUGUAGCGGUGGAAUGCGCAGAUAUCAGGAGGAACACCAACGGCGAAGGCAGCUCGCUGGGACGGUACUGACACUGGAGGCGCGAAAGCGUGGGGAGCGAACAGG